rnacentral:rRNA from 1 species
AGUGAACGCUGGCGGUAGGCCUAACACAUGCAAGUCGAACGGCAGCACAGUAAGAGCUUGCUCUUACGGGUGGCGAGUGGCGGACGGGUGAGGAAUACAUCGGAAUCUACUUUUUCGUGGGGGAUAACGUAGGGAAACUUACGCUAAUACCGCAUACGCCCUACGGGUGAAAGCAGGGGAUCUUCGGACCUUGCGCGAUUGAAUGAGCCGAUGUCGGAUUAGCUAGUUGGCGGGGUAAAGGCCCACCAAGGCGACGAUCCGUAGCUGGUCUGAGAGGAUGAUCAGCCACACUGGAACUGAGACACGGUCCAGACUCCUACGGGAGGCAGCAGUGGGGAAUAUUGGACAAUGGGCGCAAGCCUGAUCCAGCCAUACCGCGUGGGCGAAGAAGGCCUUCGGGUUGUAAAGCCCUUUUGUUGGGAAAGAAAAGCAGCAGGUUAAUACCCCGCUGUUCUGACGGUACCCAAAGAAUAAGCACCGGCUAACUUCGUG